GAAGAAUCAGGUUGUGGGGGGAGCUAUUAACAGUUUAGCCGAUACGCUUUCCUGAAGAAGUGAGUUUUCAAUUAUUUUUUUGAAGGAGUGGAGACUGGGUGAACGUCUAACUGAGGAUUCCUGAUUCAUUUUCAAAUUGUUCAGGACUUCUCUCCCAUGCAGUCAGCCCCCACACAGCGAUGGUAGGAGAAUUUAGUCAAUUUUGGC